rnacentral:rRNA from 1 species
UACGUAGGUGGCAAGCGUUGUCCGGAUUUACUGGGCGUAAAGAGCGCGCAGGCGGUCGUUCAAGUCGCGUGUGAAAGCCCCCGGCUCAACUGGGGAGGGUCACGCGAUACUGAUCGACUCGAAGGCAGGAGAGGGUAGUGGAAUUCCCGGUGUAGUGGUGAAAUGCGUAGAUAUCGGGAGGAACACCAGUGGCGAAGGCGGGUCCCUGGGCCGAUAUCGACGCUGAGGAGCGAAAGCGUGGGGAGCGAACAGG